GCCAGACUCCUACGGGAGGCAGCAGUGGGGAAUAUUGCACAAUGGGGGGAACCCUGAUGCAGCGACGCCGCGUGGGCGAGGAAGUAUUUCGGUAUGUAAAGCCCUAUCGGCAGGGAAGAAGAAAUGACGGUACCUGAAUAAGAAGCACCGGCUAAAUACGCGCCAGCAGCCGCGGUAAUACGUAUGGGGCAAGCGUUAUCCGGAUUUACUGGGCGUAAAGGGAGCGCAGGCGGCGCGCCAAGUCUGAUGUGAAACCCCGGGGCUCAACCCCGGGACUGCAUUGGAAACUGACAGGCUGGAGUGUCGGAGAGGCAGGCGGAAUUCCUAGUGUAGCGGUGAAAUGCGUAGAUAUUAGGAGGAACACCAGUGGCGAAGGCGGCCUGCUGGACGAUGACUGACGCUGAGGCUCGAAAGCGUGGGGAGCAAACAGGAUUAGAUACCCGUGUACA
rnacentral:rRNA from 1 species